GGGCAGUCGUAAUUCAGAGGGCAGAGAGAGCUGGGAGCAGCAGAAGUCCGAGGCAGAUUUUGCGAGAGCGAGUUAUUACAAGAGGAUGGGGCGUCAACACACAAGCCCAAAGCGGCCAAGCAAGGGCACAAAUGUCCAAUAUGUGGGCUGGACUAUGCCGACUUAACGCAGCACAUUAAACUAGGUGAACGCGUGGUCAACAGAACUGAACUGGAACUGCUGUCUAAGUUGGCACACAGACGGUGCAGGAGGCCUUUAUCUCUCACACCCAGGUUUGUUCAAGGUUGUCACACCGGCGGAAGGAGUAUCAGACUGCUCAGCGGCAGAUAGGUUGAAGCUCGGAGCCUUUCCCUGUUCCGACUCCAACCCCUCUUUGAAGUAUUCGGGGAGCUCGAGGCACUCGGAGCCACUGGAAGUGUGAAAGAAGGUUUCUGCCUCUAGUCCUCCCUCAAUGCAAGACCGGAGACUGUUGUAUCUGAGGAACCGGGCGUACUCCUUUCGUGGCAGCAGUUUUUGCUUCGACCUCUUUCCGCGUCAUGUUGAGCACCCCGUCACCGCCACGAUGUAACCACUCAGGAGCCCGAAAAACAUCCUCUGCCUUUUUUAUCUGCAGGGGUUUUCUAAAGAGAAUCUGUAAGAGCACAGUCCCACCUGCCAGUGAGGUUGCGGCCCCAUCCGCCGCUGACAGACCCUUUACGUCCUCCGACAGAGCCUUCACCGACAGACCCUCCGACGGACCCUUCGCCUCCAC